rnacentral:lncRNA from 1 species
CUGGGAGAGGCAAACAGAAGGAAAUGGAAGAUUUGGGCAGCCGAGGAAGGACUGAAGUCCUAUCGCCUCCUUGGAAGACAAAUGCAGAAUGGGAGAAGUCUACUUUGUUGGCACCAGGACCAGUGAAACCUGUGACAUCACAUAGGCGGGAGCUGCAGACCUGUUGCCAAGACAUCAGCCACCAUAUUCUCAGAAUCGACUUGGCUCACCUCCCACCUUUACCUGUGUUACAUCAUUAUCCAUAUAUAUAUAUAUAAGGGGAAUACCCUUCCUUUUCUGUCUCUUCCCCCAUCUCUUCCCACCAUCACCUUCCUUGCCCCUCUCUCUCCUAAUAAACAUCUUACACGUGGAACUGUUUUGGCCUGGUAUUCUAUGUUCAGACUCGAGCCACUAUUCUAACACAUUAUACUUAGGCCUCCAGAGACCCCAAGGCUCAGCCUUGUACAGGAGAGUUGAAGGAAAAUGAUGUGUGGUCAACAUGAACAGAGACAGCUU